GGCCGCGGCCGUGACUGGCGUGAGGUGGAACAGACCACCGGGGAGCGGCCGCAGUCCCCUGCAGCGCACCGCCCGCCUGGGUGCCUGGG
rnacentral:ncRNA from 2 species